rnacentral:rRNA from 1 species
AUUGAACGCUGGCGGCAUGCCUUACACAUGCAAGUCGAGCGCGAAAGGGGGCAACCCCGAGUAGAGCGGCGGACGGGUGAGUAACACAUCGGAACGUGCCCAGUAGUGGGGGACAACCUCGGGAAAUCGAGGCUAAUACCGCAUACGACCCACGGGUGAAAGCGGGGGACCGCAAGGCCUCGCGCUAUUGGAGCGGCCGAUGUCCGAUUAGCUAGUUGGCGGGGUAAGAGCCCACCAAGGCGACGAUCGGUAGCUGGUCUGAGAGGACGACCAGCCACACUGGGACUGAGACACGGCCCAGACUCCUACGGGAGGCAGCAGUGGGGAAUUUUGGACAAUGGGGGCAACCCUGAUCCAGCCAUGCCGCGUGCGGGAAGAAGGCCU